CGGUUUAGCUCAGCUGGUAGAGCAGCGGUUUUGUAAACCGAAGGUCGCGGGUUCGAUUCCUGCAACCGG
rnacentral:tRNA from 2 species